AACCUAGCACACCUGCGGUGUGUACCUGCGGAAGGAUCAUUACCGAGUUUACAACUCCCAAACCCCUGUGAACAUACCACUUGUUGCCUCGGCGGAUCAGCCCGCUCCCGGUAAAACGGGACGGCCCGCCAGAGGACCCCUAAACUCUGUUUCUAUAUGUAACUUCUGAGUAAAACCAUAAAUAAAUCAGAACUUUCAACAACGGAUCU
rnacentral:misc_RNA from 1 species